AUGAGUGUGUUUCGGCUACCGGCCUCUGUUUGCGAUGAUUUAACGCGUAUGAUGAGGCAAUACUGGUGGGGAGUGGAGAAUGGUAAAAGGAAAAUGGCGUGGCUCAGUUGGGAGAAAAUGAUCUUGCCCAAGGAUAUGGGAGGAAUGGGUUUUAGAGAUAUGAGAUGCUUUAAUCAGGCGCUACUCGCGAAGCAAGCCUGGAGACUGCUAGAUUUAUGCGCCGGUUACUCCGGGCCAAAUAUUACCCCAACGGUAACUUGCUUGAUACAGUCUUUCCUUCUAGUUCGUCGGCUGUGUGGAAGGGCAUCAUGCAUGGGCUUGAUCUAUUGA
rnacentral:rRNA from 1 species